rnacentral:rRNA from 1 species
AUACGUAGGGGGCAAGCGUUAUCCGGAUUUACUGGGUGUAAAGGGCGCGUAGGCGGGGGUGCAAGUCAGAUGUGAAAUCUAUGGGCUUAACUCAUAAACUGCAUUUGAAACUGUAUCUCUUGAGUGCUGGAGAGGUAGACGGAAUUCCUUGCGUAGCGGUGAAAUGCGUAGAUAUAAGGAAGAACACCAGUGGCGAAGGCGGUCUACUGGACAGUAACUGACGCUGAGGCGCGAAAGCGUGGGGAGCAAACAGGAUUAGAUACCCUGGUAGUCCACACUGUAAACGAUGAAUGCUAGGUGUAGGGGGUAUCGACCCCUUCUGUGCCGCAGUCAACACAAUAAGCAUUCCGCCUGGGGAGUACGGCCGCAAGGUUGAAACUCAAAUGAAUUGACGGGG